rnacentral:hammerhead_ribozyme from 1 species
GCACUGGUGAGGAGUCCCACAAUAGGACGAAACGGCCGUCCACUGC